CACUGGCAUUGGCUCUCCACAGUGGGGAGAAAGGACAGGGAGGACUCGAGCCUGAUGAGGACCCAGGGGCCCUGCUCCCCAGCGGCUUUGCCCACUCCCGACAGCAGCUGAAGAUCCUUGUCAAAAUUAAGCAAGGAGGUCUGUACUCCACAGGUACAGUGGACGUCUCCCACUCCUGCCAUAUUCUGCAGUUCAGAAGAGCACUGGUUUGGAUGUUUGGAGACCUGAGCUCUUCUUCUGGCUCUACUGCUGACUUGCUGUGUGACUUUGGUGUUGGAGAAAAAAACAACAAAUAAGCAAAAGUGGAGUGCCGGGUUGGAGCUGGAGACAUCAUCAUAACCCUCAUUUAGUUUAAUGAAUACACACAUGGGUAGAGAUGCAUGUAUAUGUAGAUUAGAAUAGAUAGAUACUGCCCACCGAAAGGGCCCAGAAGCAAUGACAUUCCAAGAGCAACAAGCACAACUUAAAUGCCCAGGGCUUGGUUUUUAUAUACCAUUCUCCAAUAAAGGAAAUUGGGAUUCCUUGAAGACAUACACGGUAAGCCUGGAGUAUCAUGCAGUGGCAAAAAAGUGUUCUAAACUACGCCAAAAAUGGAUGGAGAAUGUCAAAAGGGCACAGGAAUCAAACUGAAAAGAACUCUCAGUGCCCAAGGCUAGAAUGAUUUGAGGCACAACAACAACAAAAUAGCAAUUGUGUUGAAUUGCACACAAAAAAUAAACUGUAUUGUAUGGAACACAAUAAAAUAAAUACCCAUGAGUCCAUACUGUGAUAAAUGAUUGACUGAAUAAAU
ensembl:lncRNA